rnacentral:tRNA from 1 species
GCGGGGGUGCCGGAGUGGUCAAACGGACUAGGUUGAGGGCCUAGUAGCUUAGUGCUUGCGCGAGUUCGAACCUCGUCUCCCGCA